AGGUGUUGUUGGGUAGGGGAGCGUUCUGUAAGCCUGCGAAGGUGGCCUGUGAGGGUUGCUGGAGGUAUCAGAAGUGCGAAUGCUGACAUAAGUAACGAUAAAGCGGGUGAAAAGCCCGCUCGCCGGAAGACCAAGGGUUCCUGUCCAACGUUAAUCGGGGCAGGGUGAGUCGACCCCUAAGGCGAGGCCGAAAGGCGUAGUCGAUGGGAAACGGGUUAAUAUUCCCGUACUUGGUGUUACUGCGAAGGGGGGACGGAGAAGGCUAUGUUGGCCGGGCGACGGUUGUCCCGGUUUAAGCGUGUAGGUGUGUGUUCCAGGUAAAUCCGGUUCACUUUAACACUGAGGCGUGACGACGAGGCACUACGGUGCUGAAGCAACAAAUGCCCUGCUUCCAGGAAA
rnacentral:rRNA from 1 species